GUUGGACGCUUAACCAACUGAGCCACCCAGCUGCCCCACCAUCCUGGAAAACUGAAGGUUAUUACACAUAUGACGGGUGCUGGAAAGUGGAGGGAUCCUGGAGAGAGACUCUAAGACUCCAAGACUGUCACAAAUGGUUUCUGCUGGCAACGAAUCCAGUCCUCCACCAAACACCCUCAGAGAAGGAGACAGGAGCCACAUGGAAGCAUUCCAUACUGGCUCCGGGACCGGGAAGUCCCACUCCACAUCUGACCACUCAUGUCUGGCCUCCGCGGAACAGCAGCAGCUUUGCUGGGCUGGCGUCUUCAACUUCAGAACCUUGAAUGUUGCCACCAGAGUCCUGCUGUGUGAUGCCCUCCUACGCACACCUUAGGGCCCCUGGUGAUGAGCUUCCUGGCUGGUGGGCUCAGAGAUGAAGACCGGGUAUGAAUUAUGACCCUGCCGGGAGCGGUAAAUGACACCAUCUCAGUCAGGCACUUGUCACAGACCAAGCGUGGUACACCUGUAAAAAUGGCUUUUGUGAAUUAGCAUUAAGGUUGCUCUGAGUUUGUUCAAGCUGCUAUAACAGAGCACCACAGGCUGGGUGACCUAUAAACAAUUUAUCGCUCACA